rnacentral:lncRNA from 1 species
UGGGGUGUUUUGAGUGAGUUAAGCAUCGUAUAGCAGCCAUAAGAGAUGAGUGAUUCCAUCUAACUGUGGUGUUUUUAUUGUCUUUUGUUAUGAAAAAAAUUUAUUUUGAAAAGAAAAUUAGUCUCUUAUUGUUUUACAGCUUAUGUGUAUAUAUGUAAGCAUGGAAACAUGACAUGAUUUUAUUGACAGGUUACUUAUGAAUAAAUAUGUAUAUGUGGAAC